CUGUAGCAUAAGUUCUCUGGAGGUUCUUCACAUGGCCCUUGGACUUAAUUCGUAUUCCCAGGUUCAAUGUGUUCUUUUAGAGUGAGCAUGUACCUAAAUCCAUUGUUCUGAAUCUUUAUUUCAGAUUUUGUUCAGAUGAAACCAGAUUGUGUAAAACCAGAGCAAAAGACACUUAAUUAAAAUAAAGUGGGAAAGUAAGUAAUGAAUCAUCAUUUUGACUUUCAGUAAGGGUUAUUAACUCCUACAAAUUCCAGCACUAUAGGUGGAAAAGUGGAGAGAACACUGGACCUGGAGUUAGGAAGACCUGAGUUCAACUCCACCCUUAGAUGCUGGGGAAUUUUAAUUUUAUUUGCCUCUGUUUCCUCAUCUAUAAAAUGGAAAGAAUAAUAGCACCUACUUCCUAGAGUUGUAAGGAAUAUGUUACCCAGGUCUCUUUGUUUAAGUGAUAUCUAGAUGACUUAUUUGAAAGCUGCUACUUCUCCUACUCCUCCUCUUCCUCCUCCUUUCUUCUUCUUCUUCUUCUUCUUCUUCUUCUUCUUCUUCUUCUUCUUCUUCUUCUUCUUCUUCUUCUUCUUCUUCUUCUUCUUCUUCUUCUUCUUCUUCUUCUUCUUCUUCUUCUUCUUCUUCUUCUUCUUCUUCUUCUUCUUCUUCUUCUUCUUCUUCUUCUUCUUCUUCUUCUUCUUCUUCUUCUUCUUCUUCUUCUUCUUUUCUUUUCUUUUCUUUUCCUUUUCUUUUCUUUUCUUUUCCUUUUCUUUCUUUUCUUUUCUUUUCCUUUUCUUUUCUUUUCUUUUCUUUUCUCUUCCCUUCCCUUUUCUUUUCUUUUCUUUCCUUUCCUUUUCCUUUUCCUUCCUCCCUCCCUCCCUCCCUCUCUCCAUCUCUUUCUUUCUUUCUUUCUUUCUUUCUUUCUUUCUUUCUUUCUUUCUUUCUUUCUUUCUUUCUUUCUUUCUUUCUUUCUUUCUUUCUUUCUUUCUUUCUUUCUUUCUUUCUUUCUUUCUUUCUUUCUUUCUUUCUUUCUUUCUUUCUUUCUUUCUUUCUUUCUUUCUUUCUUUCUCAAUAACAGGAGAACUCCCUGUCCCCAUCACCUCCCUUUUUAAAUUCC
rnacentral:lncRNA from 1 species